rnacentral:tRNA from 1 species
GCAGGGAUAGCCGAAUUGGNAUAGGCANCAGAUUUAGAAUCUGGAAUUUGAGAGUUCGAGUCUCUCUCCCUGUA